CUUGGGGGGGUGCUUACACAUGCAGUCGAACGGGAUCCAUCAGGCUUUGCUUGGUGGUGAGAGUGGCGAACGGGUGAGUAAUGCGUGACCGACCUGCCCCAUACACCGGAAUAGCUCCUGGAAACGGGUGGUAAUGCCGGAUGCUCCGACUCCUCGCAUGGGGUGUCGGGAAAGAUUUCAUCGGUAUGGGAUGGGGUCGCGUCCUAUCAGGUAGUCGGCGGGGUAACGGCCCACCGAGCCUACGACGGGUAGCCGGCCUGAGAGGGCGACCGGCCACAUUGGGACUGAGAUACGGCCCAGACUCCUACGGGAGGCAGCAGUGGGGAAUAUUGCACAAUGGGCGCAAGCCUGAUGCAGCGACGCCGCGUGCGGGAUGACGGCCUUCGGGUUGUAAACCGCUUUUGAUCGGGAGCAAGCCUUCGGGUGAGUGUACCUUUCGAAUAAGCACCGGCUAACUACGUGCCAGCAGCCGCGGUAAUACGUAGGGUGCAAGCGUUAUCCGGAAUUAUUGGGCGUAAAGGGCUCGUAGGCGGUUCGUCGCGUCCGGUGUGAAAGUCCAUCGCUUAACGGUGGAUCUGCGCCGGGUACGGGCGGGCUGGAGUGCGGUAGGGGAGACUGGAAUUCCCGGUGUAACGGUGGAAUGUGUAGAUAUCGGGAAGAACACCAAUGGCGAAGGCAGGUCUCUGGGCCGUUACUGACGCUGAGGAGCGAAAGCGUGGGGAGCGAACAGGAUUAGAUACCCUGGUAGUCCACGCCGUAAACGGUGGAUGCUGGAUGUGGGGCCCGUUCCACGGGUUCCGUGUCGGAGCUAACGCGUUAAGCAUCCCGCCUGGGGAGUACGGCCGCAAGGCUAAAACUCAAAGAAAUUGACGGGGGCCCGCACAAGCGGCGGAGCAUGCGGAUUAAUUCGAUGCAACGCGAAGAACCUUACCUGGGCUUGACAUGUUCCCGACAGCCGUAGAGAUAUGGCCUCCCUUCGGGGCGGGUUCACAGGUGGUGCAUGGUCGUCGUCAGCUCGUGUCGUGAGAUGUUGGGUUAAGUCCCGCAACGAGCGCAACCCUCGCCCUGUGUUGCCAGCACGUCAUGGUGGGAACUCACGGGGGACCGCCGGGGUCAACUCGGAGGAAGGUGGGGAUGACGUCAGAUCAUCAUGCCCCUUACGUCCAGGGCUUCACGCAUGCUACAAUGGCCGGUACAACGGGAUGCGACACGGCGACGUGGAGCGGAUCCCUGAAAACCGGUCUCAGUUCGGAUUGGAGUCUGCAACCCGACUCCAUGAAGGCGGAGUCGCUAGUAAUCGCGGAUCAGCAACGCCGCGGUGAAUGCGUUCCCGGGCCUUGUACACACCGCCCGUCAAGUCAUGAAAGUGGGUAGCACCCGAAGCCGGUGGCCCUAACCCUUUGUGGAUGGAGCCGUCUAAAGGUAAGAACUUUGGUC
rnacentral:rRNA from 1 species